rnacentral:rRNA from 1 species
GGACCCGCACAAGCGGUGGAGCAUGUGGUUUAAUUCGAUGCAACGCGAAAAACCUUACCUACUCUUGACAUACUUGGAAGCUCUUGUAAUGAGAGUGUGCCUUUUGGAACCAAGAUACAGGUGCUGCAUGGCUGUCGUCAGCUCGUGUCGUGAGAUGUUCCGUUAAGUCGGAUAACGAGCGCAACCCUUACCCUUAUUUGCCAGCGAUUCGGUCGGGAACUAUAAGGGGACUGCCGGUGAUAAACCGGAGGAAGGUGAGGACGACGUCAAGUCAUCAUGGCCCUUACGAGUAGGGCUACACACGUGCUACAAUGCUACGGACAAAGGGCAGCAAGUUCGCGAGGACAAG